UGCUUCAAAGUUUUGUGAUAAAAAAAAACAUAUUCUCAAGUAGAAUUAUAUUUCCAUUUAUUCAUCAGAAGAAGCGCCCUUCGAUGAAAUUAGAGGAGAAUGGGCUACUUUUGUGCUACAACUAAUCAUGAAUCAUGUUAAUGCAUCAUGAUCACCAUGUAUGAUGAGUCCCUUAGCUACUACAUGAAUUUUUCCAUAGGUAUACACUCUUGGGAUGGUGAAAUGGAGAAUAAAAAGAAAGAAGAAGGCAACAAGAUUUUGGGUUUUUAAAUGCAACUCUUAUGUUAUACGUUGUAGGACAUAAACGUUACUUUAAUUGCAACUGAGAAAUUUAGAUUUUUAGAUGGGACUUUUAUGUCAUUUUAUGGUUAGCCGAUUUUAUGCUUAGGAAAUGGAGGUAUACAUAUCUUGGGAUCUUUAACAUUUCUAAAUCAUGUUUUGGUAUGUAUUCACUCUUCUUUUUUAGUUUUAAUGGGUUUGAUAUGUUGGACGUACUAUCCUUUU